AAAAAGUUUGCUUGGGUUUUCCCAUAAGAUGCUAUGAAAAAGCCCAGAUGAACUUUUUGGC
ensembl:miRNA